CACAUGGUGGUUUGUCUUCUGUGCAGGUGGUGCAAGGUGUAGUAGAUUAUCAAGAUGAACGACAACGCGCGGUUUUCAGCUUCAGUUCUAUAUUCAAGGAGGCAGUGGCCAGAGAAACUCAUCUCAGAUGGCAAGGGGAUUGCACAGCUACACAGCCAAGAUGCUGAAGAUCAGGGGUGGCCAACCCACUAGUCGAGGACCACUGCCCUGCAUGUUUUCCACCUGUCCCUUCCCUACCCGCUGCUGAUUACCUGGAUCAGUGUACUUGAAGACCUGUUAGUCAUCAAGCCCAGAACUCGGAGCCACACAACCCAGUGAGGAAGAUGACCUAAAACCUCAUGGGCUUGCACGCAGAUGGAUGAUGUCCUGAUGUCAAGAUCUGCUACAACAGUUGGUGGUGGGUACUACUAAAUUAUUAGCUUUGUACAAUACACUGACUGGCCACUUUAUUAGGUACACCUGUACAGUUGUAUCCAAUUCAAUGCAACACUUC